GCCUCACGCUGCUGACAGGCUGGUGGAGGGAGGCGCUUGGGUACCGUUGCUAGGCAACUGCCUCAGGCCUGUGGUCCUCUCAGCGCUGGAGCCUUCCUCUUGGGCUCCUCCGUUCUUCCCUAACAAUGGCUGAGGACACCAGCACUUCCUCCCUUCUAGCUUGCUCCCUCUGAGUCACUGCCAUUCCCAGUCACAUGGUGUAAGCAGCUUGGCUUUGCCCCAAGACCCUGGUGGGGGCAGAUAAGGAGCCUCCCAUCAUGCUUGAGUCCAGCCUCACUCUCUGGAAAAGUCUGGCCUCCUGCGGCAGCCAAGCAUGGCAGGCCUCUGCCAACAGAGGUUAAGCCAAGCAUCCUCAGACCAUGUCCCAGCUCCAGUUCAAUCUGACCUGCGUGCCGAGAUUAGCAGCCAGCUAGUGGAGUGAAAAGGGAUCUCCUCAACUUGCUUCCCUUUUGCCUUCCUCAAAGCAGGAAGAGCUAAGAAGAGGAGGCCAGGAAACAGCUCCUACCUUAAGUGCAUCUGAUGACAAAUGACUCAAACACCACUUUGCAGAUGUCUCACACUCACGGCAGAAAGCAAGGAAGAAGGGAAGGGAAAAAUAACACUGGAGUAAGUGCUGUUGGAGAACCUUGUUCACAAGUUUCAAGAAGCCUGUCAGGCCCUGGAAUUAACCUGCUCCCAAAAGAGAUCGGUUGAACUAUGUCCCCAGAUAAACCCUCAGAUUCCCGAAUCUCCAUAUAUCACAUCCUCAACCGGUAGUGGUGUUUGAUCAUCUUCUCCAGAUAUACAGAAGAAUCACAGGAGAUCUGGCAAGAAGCUGCAACAUUUCCUACUAUGUCUGGUUUUCUUCUUGGUGUUGAUGAUGAGGC
rnacentral:lncRNA from 10 species